rnacentral:lncRNA from 1 species
AAUAAUUGAAUCAUCUCUCUUUCUAAAACAUGCUUCAAUUCCAUUUUUUUUACAUAACACAUUAGAUAUUUUGUAAUAUAAUUUCUUUUAUAUUGAUUGAUCUUAUCCACAAAUGCUUGUAACACUUUGUUUGCCAUACCAUCUUUGUAAUCUUUAAUUUAUUGCUAUUACAUGAAUAAGGAAAAAGUCUCAAACAUGCUUACAGAAUUGGGAUCAAAAUACAUAUUUUGUCCUCUACUAAUUUCACCACCUAUAGCUCUAAUUAAAGUACCACCCAUAGCCCUUCUUUCAACUUUCUUGCCUUCUUUUUCCAUAAUUUAAAUAAUCCAAGAAAAUCAAAUACCUUCUACCUCAAGCCUUUCAUGUUGAGUUCACCAAAUAUGUUAUAUUACAUGAAGUCUUGCUUGAAAAUGUACCAAAUACCUAGUUGUAGAAGAUAAAAUAGAAAUAGCUAUAACAAAAUCCUAACUCUAAUAGAUUAUUAAAUAAACUUUAAUCAAAUCUUAUCAAUGCUAAAUAAUCUUUAAUCAAAUUCAAAAAAAAUCUUAAAGAAAUUAUAAGAGAAAUAAUAAGACAUCUUAAAGGAAUUUUAAAAAAAAAUCUAUAUUAAAUCUUAAAACAAUCCUUAAAAAAACCUAAAAAAUAUUAGAAUAAUCACAAAUAUAUCUUAAAUAAAUCUCAAUCAAGUUUUAAUUUAAAUCUCAUCGACACCUUGAUAGACUUCAAUCAAACUCUAGACAAAUCCUAAAUCCUAAACCAAAUCCUAUACAAAUCCUAAACUCUAGAUCAAAUCUUAGACAAACUCUAAAUCUUAGACCAAAUCCUAAACAAAUCCUAAAUCCUAGACCAAAUCCUAGAUAAAUCCUAAAUCCUAAAUCAAAUUAUAGACAAAUCUUAAAUCCUAAAUCAAAUCAACUCUUAACUUCCUUCUAU